GACGGGUGAGUAACACGUGGGGAACCUGCCUGUAAGACUGGGAUAACUCCGGGAAACCGGGGCUAAUACCGGAUGGUUGUUUGAACCGCAUGGUUCAAACAUAAAAGGUGGCUUCGGCUACCACUUACAGAUGGACCCGCGGCGCAUUAGCUAGUUGGUGAGGUAACGGCUCACCAAGGCAACGAUGCGUAGCCGACCUGAGAGGGUGAUCGGCCACACUGGGACUGAGACACGGCCCAGACUCCUACGGGAGGCAGCAGUAGGGAAUCUUCCGCAAUGGACGAAAGUCUGACGGAGCAACGCCGCGUGAGUGAUGAAGGUUUUCGGAUCGUAAAGCUCUGUUGUUAGGGAAGAACAAGUACCGUUCGAAUAGGGCGGUACCUUGACGGUACCUAACCAGAAAGCCACGGCUAACUACGUGCCAGCAGCCGCGGUAAUACGUAGGUGGCAAGCGUUGUCCGGAAUUAUUGGGCGUAAAGGGCUCGCAGGCGGUUUCUUAAGUCUGAUGUGAAAGCCCCCGGCUCAACCGGGGAGGGUCAUUGGAAACUGGGGAACUUGAGUGCAGAAGAGGAGAGUGGAAUUCCACGUGUAGCGGUGAAAUGCGUAGAGAUGUGGAGGAACACCAGUGGCGAAGGCGACUCUCUGGUCUGUAACUGACGCUGAGGAGCGAAAGCGUGGGGAGCGAACAGGAUUAGAUACCCUGGUAGUCCACGCCGUAAACGAUGAGUGCUAAGUGUUAGGGGGUUUCCGCCCCUUAGUGCUGCAGCUAACGCAUUAAGCACUCCGCCUGGGGAGUACGGUCGCAAGACUGAAACUCAAAGGAAUUGACGGGGGCCCGCACAAGCGGUGGAGCAUGUGGUUUAAUUCGAAGCAACGCGAAGAACCUUACCAGGUCUUGACAUCCUCUGACAAUCCUAGAGAUAGGACGUCCCCUUCGGGGGCAGAGUGACAGGUGGUGCAUGGUUGUCGUCAGCUCGUGUCGUGAGAUGUUGGGUUAAGUCCCGCAACGAGCGCAACCCUUGAUCUUAGUUGCCAGCAUUCAGUUGGGCACUCUAAGGUGACUGCCGGUGACAAACCGGAGGAAGGUGGGGAUGACGUCAAAUCAUCAUGCCCCUUAUGACCUGGGCUACACACGUGCUACAAUGGACAGAACAAAGGGCAGCGAAACCGCGAGGUUAAGCCAAUCCCACAAAUCUGUUCUCAGUUCGGAUCGCAGUCUGCAACUCGACUGCGUGAAGCUGGAAUCGGUAGUAAUCGCGGAUCAGCAUGCCGCGGGGAACACG
rnacentral:rRNA from 1 species